UGGGGAAUUUUGCACAAUGGGGGAAACCCUGAUGCAGCGACGCCGCGUGAUUUAGAAGGCCUUCGGGUUGUAAAAAUCUUUUCUAUGGGAAGAAAAUGACAGUACCAUAGGAAUAAGGACCGGCUAAUUACGUGCCAGCAGCCGCGGUAAUACGUAAGGUCCGAGCGUUGUCCGGAAUCAUUGGGCGUAAAGGGUACGUAGGCGGGUAAGCAAGUUAGAAGUGAAAUCCUAUAGCUCAACUAUAGUAAGCUUUUAAAACUGCUCAUCUUGAGGUAUGGAAGGGAAAGUGGAAGUCCUAGUGUAGCGGCGAAAUGCGCAGAUAUUAGGAGGAAUACCGGUGGCGAAUGCGACUUUCUGGCCAUAACCUGACGCUGAGGUACGAAAGCGUGGGUAGCAAACAGG
rnacentral:rRNA from 1 species